rnacentral:lncRNA from 1 species
CGACCAGCGGGAAUACGACGACCAGAGAGCGCUGGAGAUCCACACUGCCAAGGAUUUCAUCUUUUCCAUGCUGGGAUUGGCUCCUUGGUGGUCUUUGGGUACCUGUGACUUGGGCCUGACAGUGAUAACCAAAGUAGGAUGCCCACACCGUGUUUGCUGAGGUGCAUUUCAGAGGGAAGCUGAAGGAAGCCAAAUGCCUCUGCUCGGAAAGUCGUCUGUGUGCCCACUGUGUUCCGCCUCUGUGUGUCUGUCCCAGUGCUUUCUUCUCCGAGCCACUUGACACUUUAGAAAUCAUUAACUUCGGCCAUUUAUCCAGCAGCCUGCUU